rnacentral:lncRNA from 1 species
UAGCUCCUUAUUGGGCUUACUAGCCUUGUCUACAGAAAACAUGGGCCCAUAUAAAGUCGCUCCUUUUACUUGAAAACGAGUUAUCCACAGGAGCACGCUUUUAGUUCAAAUUGAAACUGUGGUUUCCCGUCAUGUUUCUUAAGAAUCAUCUCAAAUUUCGGUGGGGUGAUCGUUUUUUUUUAUUUUAUUUUUAUUUUUUUUCAUAUGGGACCCACACCCAUCUGAGUGUUCUAUAUUACUUCUGUGAAACCAUUUCAGUACAAAUGGAAAAGCUGCGGUAUUUAUGAGAAGAUCCAAAUCCAAGAACUUGCUGUCAAUGCACGGAAUUCCAAGGAUCGUCGACUCAUCUCAUAUUCAUCAGCAUAUGUCUCAAAGGAUACUGGAGGAAUGUUCUGGUCGAGGCACAACUUCUUCUUAAUGGCUUGUUUGGCAAGGGAAAUUACCACAUACAAUUGAGAGAAAAUAAACUCUGUGUGUACGGUAGUAUACAUUCUUAUCCAACAUUAUUAUCCCAGCAGAUACUGGUGACAUCUUGAUAAAGCGAGGCCUGCAUGUACUGGACAACACUAAUGAAGAAAAAGAAGCAAUUUUGCCGUGUAUGGUUAGCCGCAAGGAUAUUACUGGACAUCGUUUCCUGAUGCAAUGGUACUUUAUUUGUUGUUUACAGGAAUCUAUGCCAUUGAUCGAAAUUUGAAACUGUAUGAUUUUAAUCGUUGUUUGACUCGUGAUUGAUACUUGUUGUUUAGUGAUUUCAUUUUUAAUAAUAUAAUUAUAUGCA